UAACAUGUCAGCCGUAGCAGCCACCGGCGCCAGGCUGCAGCGCCUCUCUGCAUGGUUUGACCCUGAAUCUGCUGCGGUGGUGACCAUCCUACUGGGGCUCUUCCAGGUCAUGCUGUGUGUCCCUCUCCUGCACAUAGACCAAAGUCUCCCUAAGCUCUAUGUUCUGCCGCUGGUGUUGGGAAUCGUGAUUGUGGCCGGAGGCUCGCUCACCAUGGCCAAUGAGAGGAAUCCCCACAGGCAGCUGCUCCAAGGCUGCGCCUACGGCAACGUGGGCGGGCUGCUGCUGGCGCUGCUCGCCUUCUGCCUGUACUGCUACAACCUCAGCACCAUCCAGACUAAAAGACUGUGUUCAGGCGACGAACACGGUUUCUACAAUUCCCACUUUAAUUGUCCGUCCGAAAUCCUGGCGGCCUAUCACUGGAGCCUCACCCUGCUUCUGCUGCUCUACGAUGUGGCUGCCAUGGUCCUUCACGGCCUCCUGUCACUCUCAGCCCUCAAAGCACUGAAAACGAACUGAUGCCCAGAGCAGACACACGUGUUGGCUAGAAAUGGCUCUCACCAUAGUCACACACCAUCUGCUGGUUGAAUGUUAUUGUAUGUGAGAUGCUGCCUGUUAAACCCUAGUUCCAGUACUAACCGCUGUGUUGUGUAGCACCUGUGUAAGGAAAAGAAUGUGAUGGUGUAGAUGGACCUGGGAGUUAGACCAUAUGCUCAUAGACAUGAAUGACGUGUACGCACAGGAGAUGCUCAACGAUGAGGAUGUGAAGCAUCUCUGCCCAGAGGAGGAGGGCGGCGGCGACCCUCAAAACCAAUCAGAUAUCACAAUAUAAUGAGGAACAAAUUCCUUAGGACGCAACAAAGAAAAGAUAUAGGUCCAGGUGCCAGACUCCCGACGACCCUCAUCACUGUGAAUAAACACUUCUUAACCUGGAACCA
rnacentral:lncRNA from 1 species